CGUAUAACCCAGAAGAGGAUGUUUUAACUUUCUAGCACUCCUGAGAUAAACAGGACGCCGCUGAAAAACGAGGAAAACUGUCAAAAACGAAGUUGGAAUUGUUCAGCCCCUCUAUCCGCUUGGUCAUGGCUUCAAUGGUUCUCUGACUGAUAAAUUGCAAUUAAGAGAUUGGAGGUUCUUUCAAGCGAUUAUUGAAGUGAUGGGGUUUUUAUGGAGACAAACUCACAAAAGUAUGCAAAACGUAUAUAAUUUUCAUAUCUUCAAUGUUCUAAAUAUAAUUUUUUGUUCAGGGACAAAACUUGCUAGGAUUUGUUGCUGGAAAGCGGAAAUGUGCGUGUAAUUUGGGUCGUGAUUUCAUGAUUUGGUCCAGAGUAAAGUGAGCAUCAGGGAUAAAAGUUUGACUUACUCAAGGCCCUCUCAUGUCAAAAAAAUAAUAAUGUUGGAUAUAAAUUAGUAAAAAAAUUUACUCCUUUUAAAUAAGUAAAAAUCAGUUAUUAGCAAAAGAAUCAAUAAAAUCCAUUUUUAAUGAGUACAA